CUAUAUUAGAGAGCGGCAAUGGCUCUAUAUAAACAGGGCAGCCAAAGGGAGGAGGACCACAAGGCGCAGGCACUGAAAAGCAGGGUAAGCGGCCGCAGCCAUGAUGGAUCGACCCGAGUCGCCAACGGUAUAGUGUCGGGCAGCCGCAGGCUGCUCUGCGGCGUUUGGGACCGGGCAAAAUGAAAAAAAAAAAUUUUUUUUAAAAAUAAACAAACAAAAAAACAAA
rnacentral:lncRNA from 1 species